ACUCAUCGAAGCGGCUACUCCUCCUCCCAACGCCGCUCGAUCUGACUGACAGCACUCCUCCUCCCAGUUGUCAGUCUCCUAUUAGAAACCCACCGGAUCUCCUCCCCCGGUGGGUUUCUUGC
rnacentral:sRNA from 1 species